GCUGCACCUCAGGGCGUGUGGCCACAUCCGACACCACCAGUGUGCCCUCCUGCAGGCCUCGAGCUGUCUCCUCAUCUAGUACUCCUGCCUCCAGCAGCGCUGAUGCACUAGCUGCGCCACCCAGGCUCCAGUCCCACCAGAUCCCGCCUUAGUGCCUCAGACACAGGAAGAAGCUGACCCUGGGCAAGGUCUACAAGGCCUCCAGUGGCUGCCUGGGCCUCGAGCAAAGCCAGCCCAAGCCCAGUAGGCAGGAGGCCCUGCUUCAUGGCAGCGUAGAAGCUCCGGGUCUGCCCUGAAGCUUCCACAUACACCCCAGCAAUGCUUCUGGCUGUGACUCUAUGGCUUUGUUCUCAAAUCCUGACAGCAGCAGCUCCCUCCUGGUCUCGUUUGGCGUCUUAUCAAUGGCCUCUCGGAACUUCAAGGACUCUUCUUGAAUCCAGCUGCAGCCUCUUUGAGUUGUGUUCAUUCUCUAAGCCACACAUAUACAUAGAAAUGUAUAAAGACGUUUACUGUGUGCUGGGUGAGAGGUUGCUUUAGUAAUUAAGAGCACAGCAUCUUGACUGCCUCCACCUUGGCCAGAUUACUGGAGUCGGUGGGAUUACUUGGCAAAUUCUUUGCAUUUUGAAACUGCUGAACCUUGUGAGGUUGCUGUUGUUCAAUAAAUUCUGACACUGUAGAAGGACACAGACAUGCUUGUCCACAUUUCUGGCAUGCCAUACUCAUAACACACAGGGACCUGAGGCCAGCAACUCUCAGGAUUCCCUGUGGAUCAUCUGGCCUCUACUCCAGGCCUCCAGGCUUCUAGUGAUAGGGCUUGGGGCCUCCUCCCCAGUCCUGCCCUAGACUCAGAAGACGUAUGUUGGGUCUUCAUGCCUGUGUGUGUCCUGGGUCACUUGGCUCCAGGUCUCUAAGCUUCUGCCAAGACUUGGAGCUUUGGAGUUGGGCUGAAUUGAUUGCCCAGAAAGGCAACUCAAAGUCCUAACCUGCAGGACACGACUGUAACCUUAUUUGGAAGCAGGAUCUCUGCAAAUGUAACUAAGAUGAGAUCAUCCCGGAGGCCUGCUGGCUCCAAUCCAGUGCACCUGGCAUCUCUAGAAGAUGGCAGACUUGCUCAGGGAGAAAACAACCAACCACCCUGCAGACUGAGCCUGCACGCCGUGUUCUUUCUUAAUUCACAGCCUGAGUAUUUCCGGAACAUUCUCUCUGCUCGGAAGUUCAUCCAGGCUGGUCCUUGCGUGAACUUUGGGAGGGGCCUGCCUACCCCUCCCCAACACACAUUUGUAUUGAGGAACUUAGCAGACAGACUUUGAAUCUGGUCACUGAAGACAGAAUCCUCCUGUACCAGGAUUCUGCUCUGACUGUCUGUGUCCAUUGAAUCCAGAGAUUCCCGGGCUGUUCUCGGCUCUCUAUACCUGCAGCUUGAGCUAGCCAGUCCUGAAGUCAUAACCUGCUCUGUGUACUUCUGGAUACAGAUCACCUCGUGCCCUUACACGUCACAAUCCCACUUCUACUCUGUUCUUAAAGAUGCGUCAACGGGUCCAGCUGCACGCUGGCUGCCCGCUGGUCCACCUCCCAUUCAUCUAAGACCUCAUGGCUUUGCCAUGGCACCUCGAAGCUCAUCCCAUCAAUUCUCAGCCAGACUUCCUGCUCCUGUAGGCCCAGGUUUCUGCCCCAUGUGCACAGGAGCCCUCCACACUCUCAUCAGCUACCUCAAGGCUCCUCACCAAUGCCUACACCACGUAUGGAAGGCAGAAGGCAGGGAAAUGGGAGUGAAGUUGGCUGGCUGGGCAGCAUGCCCAAGGCAGGUGCAUAGCCUAUCCUGUGAAUGAUAAGAGCCUUUGAUAGCACGUGAUUCAGUAGAAUAGACCUGACCAACUUAGUGAGGGUAACGGGCAGGUGGUCCCACUGAUGCCUUCGAGAAUUGCCCUAUCUGAAGGCCUGCGCCAGGUUCAGCCCCUUGACAUGAUUGGGGGGAGACUCUGCAGGCUAUAAAGCCAUGACCCUUAGCGUUACUACUGAGAUGGCAUCCGGCCAUAGCUUUGGUAAAAAUGUCACUCUUUAUUCCCUCCCUCAGGCUGGUCCUGAGCCUUCUGGGGUAUCCUACUGCUAACCCACUGCUCAGAGUCUCAGGCCUCUGGCCUACAAGCAGGCAGGCACCUGGACAGAGUUAGCAGUGCCCACCACCAGCCUGCAGCAGAGUGCCCAGGGCCCAUGCUGCAAGCUUCAGGGCCAACAUACAGCUCUUUACGGGUGGGAGGUGCUUUUAGGGCACAGAGUGGGGCAUGGAAAAAGUAUAUAAGACACAGAUGGCAGGAGUAAGACCAUGAAAGACUGGGAGUGGCCAGUUGAACAGCUGUGGUCGAAGACCCAAGCAGCUAUAUUGUUAGGGGCCCCAAACCAGAACAGGAAAGCGCAAAUAGAACAGAACCACCCUUUGCCAAGAAUAAGUCCCAAGUCAGGGUGGUCGGGGCUCUAAUUUAGGAUGAGUAUCUUGAUUAAUAUAUGCCAAACUCUCAAAGCUGUAGACUCCCUUGAUGCCCCUGUACUAGUGAAAGUGUCCCUCCUUAGUCAGCCUACCCACUGUAGGGCCAAUGCCUUCUGUCUCCCACAACUUAGCCUAAGGAGGUAAGGAACCAACCCAAGAGGGUGGCAAGCCUUGACUUAUCCAUUAGGAAGGAAGUGGUAAUGGCCCAAACACAGAACAACAGAGUCCAAGUGCUAGUGACAACCUAAGGAGGCUGAGGAGAGGCAGAGGGGUCUAGCCACAGAGAGUCCCAGAAAGAGUUAGAAGAUCAGGUGUCCCUAAAACAUAUGAAGGACAAUUGAUAGGACCAUGAGAGAACAAGAGCCCAAUUCCAGUGCCUGGGGUACAGGUACCACCAGCCCCCAACUCCUGGGCAAGAAUGGACGUCAAAAGAAAGAGGUGCAGCCCAACUCUAGUGGAGGAGAGCUCAGCCAGCCACUCACUGACCAUGCUAUCACAGUGACCUGGACCCUAGGAACACCCACCAGCUCCUAGAGCCUGAGAGUUACUGGGGUCCCAUAUCAGGUUGGUGUGGCCACAGAGAUACUUUAUGGUUGUCUCCUCAUGUCUUUAGGAAGAACAAAUUAAAGAGUUCCUUGACCAUGGAGGCUCACUGGGGGAAGGCAAAGUGGUUAGUGAAGCUGGCUGUGGCCCUGUGCACUGUUCAACAGAAGCUGCUGGCAGAUCAGAUGUAGGGAUAAGGUUAAAGGCACGGCCUAGAUGUCGGCUCCCAGGUGACACCCUGCCGUCUUGGCACCAUCCCUUGGACAUAGUAUUUCUAAUUCUAAACCAUGGAUAUCCCUAACGCUAGGUCCCAGUGCAGGGUCUUCUCCUGCCCAGAAAUCAAGGCCUAGGAGCAGUGGUCUUCACACUGGAGGAGCGAGUUCCAGGGUCCAUAGAGAAGAAAUACUUGUGAGGGCAGACUUGAUUGGCAGGGGGAUUGUCAGAGGACCAUGGAUGUACUGGUCCUCAUAGUCACAUGGCAGCUGACAGUAAGUGAGAGAAUACAGCUACUCUGGCCAAAGAGAAGACUCCCGGGGAAGGGGGCCCGGUCACAUCCCAGUGAUCCCAGCCGACAGCUGUAGUGAAUCAAUGGCAUUUUUUUUUUUAGAUGACUGGAAGAGGUAACAAAUGACCAACAGGACCUGAAAGCCACAACAAGACCAGGCCCAUCCCACAGACCUUCUCCUCCUGCACUUCCUCAGGAAGGUACCCAAUGGUAUCCAAGAGACUGGUUCAGAGGCACGGUGUGACUGUAGUAGACACAGGGCUGUCUGGACUUGUCUACUUUCAGGAACAAGCUAGACAGCAUGGCAGACCAGCCUCUCCCACCAACCUGCCUCCUGUUCCCUCCACGACCGUGUGUGUCCUAAGACCACCCCUAAUGACUCAUCCCAGACUCUGCUUCCCAACACUGUGAAGCACUGAGUUGGGGGAAACCAUGUGUGGUUCUGCCCAGGGCAGGGCAGAGCACAGGGGAGAGGCCCUAGGGAGGUGGAGCCUGGGUACUGUCCCUUGACAUAUGGCUAGAUGAGCGUGGGGCAGGGGGAAUCCAGGACAAGCAGUUCACUGUCCCGCAAAGGUGUGACACAGAGCCUUGGGACUAGAGUAGGGAUGGAGACUGCCAGAAGCACAUGGUCUUUAGUGGCUCCUGACCUGGACAUGGACAGCCAGCCUUGACAAGCACGCUUUAUACAGAAAGGCAAGGCCCGAGUGAGAAGCCAACACAAGCUGAAGCACGCAGCUCAAGUUCCCUGAACAAAGAGGAGAUUCAGGGUGGGAAGCGACUGAAGAACCAGAGAGCAGGGACUCUGGGGAAGGGGUGGGGCUGAGAGACUGAGUUCUGGGAUGCCUGAGG